rnacentral:rRNA from 1 species
GAACGAGAAAGUGGAGCAAUCCAUGAGUAAAGUGGCGACCGGGUGAGUAACACGUGACUAACCUGCCUUCGAGUGGGGGAUAACCUCGGGAAACCGGGGCUAAUACCGCAUAAUGCCGAAAGGUUAAAGGAGCAAUUCGCUUGAAGAGGGGGUCGCGGCUGAUUAGCUAGUUGGCGGGGUAACGGCCCACCAAGGCGAUGAUCGGUAGCCGGCCUGAGAGGGCGCACGGCCACACUGGAACUGAAACACGGUCCAGACUCCUACGGGAGGCAGCAGUGGGGAAUUUUGCGCAAUGGGGGAAACCCUGACGCAGCAACGCCGCGUGGAGGAUGAAGCCCUUUGGGGCGUAAACUCCUUUCGACUCGGACGAUAAUGACGGUACGAGUGGAAGAAGCACCGGCUAACUCUGUG